GACGAACGCUGGCGGCGUGCUUAACACAUGCAAGUCGAACGGUGAAGCUCCAGCUUGCUGGAGUGGAUCAGUGGCGAACGGGUGAGUAACACGUGAGCAACCUGCCCCUGACUCUGGAAUAAGCGCUGGAAACGGCGUCUAAUACUGGAUACGAGAAGGGUCCGCAUGGGCACUUUCUGGAAAGUUUUUCGGUUGGGGAUGGGCUCGCGGCCUAUCAGCUUGUUGGUGAGGUAAUGGCUCACCAAGGCGACGACGGGUAGCCGGCCUGAGAGGGCGACCGGCCACACUGGGACUGAGACACGGCCCAGACUGCUACGGGAGGCAGCAGUGGGGAAUAUUGCACAAUGGGCGAAAGCCUGAUGCAGCGACGCCGCGUGAGGGAUGACGGCCUUCGGGGUGUAAACCUCUGUCAGCAGGGAAGAAGCGAAAGUGACGGUACCUGCAGAAGAAGCACCGGCUAACUACGUG
rnacentral:rRNA from 1 species